GCGGAAGGUGGGGUAUGGGGCCGGAAGACCCUCCCCCCGCGUCUUCAGAGGAGCGCUGUUUUUGGAGGAAUUAGGGGAAGGAGGCUGCCUGGUAAGCCAGGAAAGGGGCUUCUGGCCGUUCUGUUGGAGCGCCUCUGACUGACUUCCCCCAUGUGUCCGUGUGGCCACACCGUGCUACUUUCAGAGGCAGUGGGCUUUUCGCUAAGCGAUAAAAAGAAGUAAAACCUUGCCUUUAGCGCAGCUCUCCAUCACUGGGCAGAUUGCUCUCCCUCCCCACUCUCCCAGGCCCAAAUUGGAUCUCAGCGCCUGGGAGCUCCAACUGCAGCAAGUGCAAAAUCCUGUCUUCGGUUUUGGAAUUUUCAUCCGCACAGACUAUAUCAGCCACGGAUAGGAUACGUGAGAAUACUAGCAUGUCAAAGCUGGGAAUCAUCCUUAGGCAUCACCUAGCCAGUCCUGCCUCUCAUUUUAAGAUGCAUAGUGUUCAUAUGAGGAGAGACUUUCCCUUGUCUCCGUCAUCUGUGAUUUCACUUCCCUGACAGAAGACGAAGCUUCCAUCUCAGAUGUUUUCUUAAAUGAUGAAACAGCAUACGCCUCUGUUCUUGUCAGCUCAGGGAAAACAGAUCUGGGGACCUCUUCAUCUCUGCGUCGGGAAGCAUAGGUGGUAUAAUCCCCUCCUGUUACGUCCAGCGUUGCAUAGUCAGAAGCUUCGCCCUUGUAGUUGGUGCACACAGCACGGUGAUCACAGGAUCUGGUUUGCCACUGAAAGGAAUCUUGAUGCUGACCACUUCACCUCGGAGAGCAUGAACUGCUCCCAUGCCUUCAAGAGUUUUAG
rnacentral:antisense_RNA from 1 species